rnacentral:rRNA from 1 species
UACGUAGGGUGCAAGCGUUAAUCGGAAUUACUGGGCGUAAAGCGUGCGCAGGCGGUUAUGUAAGACAGAUGUGAAAUCCCCGGGCUCAACCUGGGAACUGCAUUUGUGACUGCAUAGCUAGAGUACGGUAGAGGGGGAUGGAAUUCCGCGUGUAGCAGUGAAAUGCGUAGAUAUGCGGAGGAACACCGAUAGCGAAGGCAAUCCCCUGGACCUGGUACUGACGCUCAUGCACGAAAGCGUGGGGAGCAAACAGG